AUUUAAAAUUCAAACAAUAUUUAGACGUUACAGCCACAAAAAUAUUUGUCCAUGAGAGCAAACCGGUCUAGUGAGCACUUUCUCCUCUGGUUUUAGUGUAAUAUUUUCAGCUUUAGUCUUCACAACAGAAGAAUCCCAUUCUAGAUUUGUUGUAGGACAUGUAUGCACUCCAAAACCACAAAUGAGUGCUCGCAUCUUCAACUUCGAGUGACCAUAGUUAGCUUUUUCAAGAAUGAUUGGACGUCAUACAUUUACAAUCUCCUUGAGGUAGUCCACCCUUUCUAUAAGAUCUUCACCUAUUGUUAAGAUACAACUUGGUUAAGAUGCGCGCUCUGAUACCAAAUGAAAUUCAUGAUAAACUCAAGAUCAGUUCCCCAAACUCAAGAUUAGUGUAUUUUUAGUCUCCUUCACACCGGAAAAACUUCUAGUUAGGGACAUGUCCAAUAAACAAAUAUAUCUCUACUUUGGAGCUUUAUAAAAUGCAUGGCCUUAUCAAAUCUCUGUUUUGCCAUCUUGACGCUGAAGUGACUUAUCAUACGACCGAACAAUGUACCGAAGAAAAACAAUAUAAAAUGACAUAUGUACUAAACAAAUUUAGAGUAGAGAACAAUGGAUUAGUUAACGACUACAAAAUCAAAUACUGAAACUAUCCACCAUCUUGAUUUUUAGGACUACUAAAAGUCUCAAAAAUCAAAA
rnacentral:sRNA from 1 species